UACGUAGGGUGCGAGCGUUAAUCGGAAUUACUGGGCGUAAAGCGUGCGCAGGCGGUUUUGUAAGCCAGAUGUGAAAUCCCCGGGCUCAACCUGGGAAUGGCAAUGGAUACUGGAUAGCUAGAGUGUGAUAGAGGAUGGUGGAAUUCCCGGUGUAGCGGUGAAAUGCGUAGAGAUCGGGAGGAACAUCAGUGGCGAAGGCGGCCAUCUGGAUCAACACUGACGCUGAGGCACGAAAGCGUGGGGAGCAAACAGG
rnacentral:rRNA from 1 species